rnacentral:rRNA from 1 species
UACGGAGGGGGCGAGCGUUAUUCGGAAUUAUUGGGCGUAAAGGGCGCGUAGGCGGCCUGAUAAGUCAAAGGUGAAAUCCCUCGGCUCAACUGAGGAAUUGCCUUUGAAACUGUCAGGCUUGAGGCCGGGAGGGGGUGGCGGAAUUCCCAGUGUAGCGGUGAAAUGCGUAGAUAUUGGGAGGAACACCAGUGGCGAAGGCGGCCACCUGGACCGGUUCUGACGCUGACUGCGCGAAAGCGUGGGGAGCAAACAGG